rnacentral:rRNA from 1 species
GAUGAACGCUGGCGGCGUGCCUAAUACAUGCAAGUCGAGCGAACAGACGAGGAGCUUGCUCCUCUGACGUUAGCGGCGGACGGGUGAGUAACACGUGGAUAACCUACCUAUAAGACUGGGAUAACUUCGGGAAACCGGAGCUAAUACCGGAUAAUAUAUUGAACCGCAUGGUUCAAUAGUGAAAGACGGUUUUGCUGUCACUUAUAGAUGGAUCCGCGCCGCAUUAGCUAGUUGGUAAGGUAACGGCUUACCAAGGCGACGAUGCGUAGCCGACCUGAGAGGGUGAUCGGCCACACUGGAACUGAGACACGGUCCAGACUCCUACGGGAGGCAGCAGUAGGGAAUCUUCCGCAAUGGGCGAAAGCCUGUCGGAGCAACGCCGCGUGAGUGAUGAAGGUCUUCGGAUCGUAAAACUCUGUUAUUAGGGAAGAACAAAUGUGUAAGUAACUAUGCACGUCUUGACGGUACCUAAUCAGAAAGCCACGGCUAACUACGUG